rnacentral:tRNA from 1 species
AAAGUUUUAGUAUAAUUUUAGUAUUAUUCAUUGUCAGUGAAUAGGUUGGAAACUUUG